GCAGGCUAAGCCACGGAUUGUGUAUGAAAUAUUCACAGCAAAGCAACGGUAAGCUUGCUCUAUCCUUGAAUAAAUCUUUGCAUACUUUAUUUGGGUUGCCAUCAUAUGUUUAUCCUUAUGUAUCCUAUUGAAAUUGAAUAGAUCAAACAGAGACCCAGUUACAACAGAGAUACGAAAAUUGAGUAGUCAAUAUAGCAGCUGCAGUGUGAACUUCUGUUUUCCCGUAGUAACUUCAGGUGGGUUUGGUGCAUUCACCAAUCAAAUUAGUUCAUUUUUAUCUCUAAUGUUGUUUUGUGCAUCUUUCGGUUGUUGCAGAAAAAAGUCUCUCUACCUGGGUUAAGAAAUUCAGAACUUUACAGUGAGCAGGUGUGUAAAAUUAUAUCUCGAAUCAAAUAAAGUUUUCUAUGCACAUUGUCAUGCCACAAUACUUGAAUUGUUAUAUUUUUUUUCCAAGGAGAAUGUGGACCUUAUAAGGUCUAUACAUGCAAGAUUCAGGAAUUGGAAACGGAAGUAACACGGCAGAAGUUCUCCACUGGGCUCAAGGGGAUGAAUCGGUUAACUACAGAGAGCUUCAACAUGGUGGCAACCUGG
rnacentral:lncRNA from 1 species